GUUACCGGCUCCUGCCGCCCCGCCCUUCAGGCCUAAGGAGGAGGGGGAAGAACGAGCGGCGGCGGCGGCGAUGAUUGGGAGAAGUUAACGUUUGGGGGCGGGGCCGCAGCCGCAGCCUUUUGCGCGCUAUGGGCAGGCUCCGACUAUGCCUGAGAAGAAAUGGAGAACUUGGCCCCAUACUAGCAAGAUUCCAUUUGUCCACUGAUUACUUUUGGAACAGAAAAGGUGCAGUGGACACAGCGUGCAGGUGCAAAGCCCAGGGCCAUCUACUCUCCGGCUGAUUUAGAGCCUUCGAGGAGGACUACUGGAGAGGCCCAACAACUGUUGGACUUCGUCCCAGGCGGGGAGACCCUAUGGGAAGAUGGACACCAGGAAAGCAGGACCCUCCACAGCAAAGAAAGUUUGAGUGUUCCUUGCAUCAUUGUUCAAGCCUGUGUAAUAGCAGCAGCAUAUAGAACAUCAGAAGUGGAAGUGUAAGGUGCAUCAGCAUAAACAACUGUCCUGAGACAACUGUAAGAAAUUGUAAGAAAACUAGUUUCUGUCCAAUCUGUCUCAUCAACUCCAAAUGAGCUGCCACUGUGUUAGUAAUAAGGUAUACAGGGUUUUAUUCUGCUCUUACUUAUCCCAUUAUAAAUCAGAAAUAGUUCCAUUAGAGUCAUGUAUGUGAGGUCUGAACCAAGCACCUAGUAAAACUUACAUUGAUGUAUUGUGUACAAUUCACAUUGAUUUUAUGUAUUGUUACCUAUAUACUGAAAUAUAUAGUCAAAAGAAGAA